AUGGUUUCUUUUUCUCCAUUUUCAGGGAUGUUGUCCUUAAAGCUGCUGUGUCAUAACAGUCUGCUAAGAGAAGUGAAUAUGCACAGUCCUUAUGUUUUGUACGCUGUGAUGCUUAGGGAUGAUCUUCUUUUCCAAUUGCUAGUUGUUUUCAUUGGUAUAAACCAAGAUCAAAGAAGCAGAAGGUGGAGGAGAGAACUUGCUGCAAAUCGCCCAAAUCAGCUUUUGGAGGAGGGACUGGGGGACCUGCCUGCAACUGGGAAUCCUUGUGCACCUUCAGAUCUAUGAAGGCUCUUCCCCUGGAGAUGUAUAGGACACCAUCUGUUCAAACCAACUGCCAAAUAUUUUUGUGUGUACGUGUGUGUGUAUAAGCCUAUGUAUAAAGAAAAAAUAUACUAGUAAGAAAGCCUGAGACUUUUCUGUGGUUGUGAUAUCACCUGCGUUGUUACACUACACUGUUUUAUAUAUUCCUGUACCUGAAGCAGAGAUAAGACAUUACUCUUCCUUUUUCAGCUGAGAUAGUAUGAGGGCUGCUCCAAAAGUAAUGCCUCCUAUGUUAUUAUGUUGGCUCACAGCAUCAGAGGUGGAUACUGGUGGUAUGGUAAAAGAGGUUGAACCUCCCAACCAAUACUCCAUUGCCGUGUGACAGGUGGCAGCGGUGGGGCAGUCUGACAGAAUGGUGUCUGAAAUGGAAGAGUGAAGCAAAGGUGUGGAACUGCAUUCCUCCGCGUGAAAAGAAUGGCACCCACUGACAUUAAUUGACACUUGCUGAAUGUUUACAAAGACCAAACAAUGGAUGUGUGUGAUGCAUUUCAGCAGUGGUGACAGUGACUUGAAAGACAAGCCACAUUCUAGCCAGUUACACACAGCUGUCACACUACAAAAUAAAGAGGGUCUUGAUCAGCUCA
rnacentral:lncRNA from 1 species